rnacentral:RNase_P_RNA from 1 species
GAGGAAAGUCCGUGCUUGCAUAGACUGAGAUGUCUAUAGUGUUUGUGUAAGUACAUAAAAAAUAAAACUUAACGGCUAGAGAAAUCUAGUUGAUGGCGGAAAAUAAUUCUAAGUAGCCUAAAGCUAUAUGAAUUAGUUUCUUUAAAGUGCCACAGAGACGAGCUUUACAGAAAUGUAAAAGUGUGAAACGCGGUAAACCCCUCAAGCAAGAAACCUAAAUUUCGGUAAGGGA